rnacentral:rRNA from 1 species
GGGAAGACGGCCCUUUGGGUUGUAAACUGCUUUUGUACCGGAAUAAACCCCCAGACGUGUCUGGGGCUGAAUGUACGGUAAGAAUAAGGAUCGGCUAACUCCGUGCCAGCAGCCGCGGUAAUACGGAGGAUCCAAGCGUUAUCCGGAUUUAUUGGGUUUAAAGGGUGCGUAGGCGGCCAAUUAAGUCAGGGGUGAAAGACGGUAGCUUAACUAUCGCAGUGCCUUUGAUACUGAUUGGCUUGAAUCCACUUGAGGUAGGCGGAAUGUGAUAAGUAGCGGUGAAAUGCAUAGAUAUGUCACAGAACACCAAUUGCGAAGGCAGCUUACUAAAGUGGCAUUGACGCUGAGGCACGAAAGCGUGGGGAUCAAACAGGAUUAGAUACCCUGGUAGUCCACGCCCUAAACGAUGAACACUCGAUGUUGGCGAUAUACGGUCAGCGUCUAAGCGAAAGCGUUAAGUGUUCCACCUGGGGAGUACGCCCGCAAGGGUGAAACUCAAAGGAAUUGACGGGGGCCCGCACAAGCGGAGGAGCAAGUGGUUUAAUUCGAUGAUACGCGAGGAACCUUACCCGGGCUUGAAAGUUAGUGAAUGUGACAAAGACGUCACA